ACGGAAAGACCCCGUGAACCUUUACUAUAGCUUGACACUGAACAUUGAGCCUUGAUGUGUAGGAUAGGUGGGAGGCUUGGAAGUGUGGACGCCAGUCUGCAUGGAGCCGACUUUGAAAUACCACCCUUUAAUGUUUGAUGUUCUAACGUUGACCCGUAAUCCGGGUUGCGGACAGUGUCUGGUGGGUAGUUUGACUGGGGCGGUCUCCUCCUAAAGAGUAACG
rnacentral:rRNA from 1 species